rnacentral:rRNA from 1 species
AUUGAACGCUGGCGGCAGGCUUAACACAUGCAAGUCGAGCGGAGAUGAGGUGCUUGCACCUUAUCUUAGCGGCGGACGGGUGAGUAAUGCUUAGGAAUCUGCCUAUUAGUGGGGGACAACAUUCCGAAAGGAAUGCUAAUACCGCAUACGUCCUACGGGAGAAAGCAGGGGAUCUUCGGACCUUGCGCUAAUAGAUGAGCCUAAGUCGGAUUAGCUAGUUGGUGGGGUAAAGGCCUACCAAGGCGACGAUCUGUAGCGGGUCUGAGAGGAUGAUCCGACACACUGGGACUGAGACACGGCCCAGACUCCUACGGGAGGAAGCAGUGGGGAAUAUUGGACAAUGGGGGAAACCCUGAUCCAGCCAUGCCGCGUGUGUGAAGAAGGCCUUAUGGUUGUAAAGCACUUUAAGCGAGGAGGAGGCUACUGAGACUAAUACUCUUGGAUAGUGGACGUUACUCGCAGAAUAAGCACCGGCUAACUCUGUGCCAGCCGCCGCCGUAA